UGACCAUGAACACCAUAUGUUUCUGUUAAAUACCAGUAUAUGUCUGUACUAUUUUUGUCUUACUAUCCCUAUCAAAGUACUGUCUACGGGGUCUUAUUUUACUCGGUUAUGACCCGUUACUCUCUCUGAACUCAAAAGCUUUUAGGAUGCAGGCAACCACUGAGUCACAGCAUUAGGUGUGGAAGUCCUGAAAUAUUUCUGUCCUGACCCAAAAAACAGGAGCUGAGCCAAAGGAAGGAAGUCAAAAGCAGUAGGUUAGCUAAGCCAAGGAAGGAGCAGUAGGUUAGCUAAGCCAAGGAAGGAGCAGUAGGUUAGCUAAGCCAAGGAAGGAGCAGUAGGUUAGCUAAGCCAAGGAAGGAGCAGUUGGUCAGCUAAGCCAAGGAAGGAGCAGUUGGUCAGCUAAGCCAAGGAAGGAGCAGUAGGUUAGCUAAGCCAAGGAAGGAGCAGUAGGUUAGCUAAGCCAAGGAAGGAGCAGUAGGUUAGCUAAGCCAAGGAAGGAGCAGUAGGUUAGCUAAGCCAAGGAAGGAGCAGUAGGUUAGCUAAGCCAAGGAAGGA